rnacentral:tRNA from 1 species
AGCGGUGUAUAGCAGCGGUAGCUAAUCAGGCUUUUUAUCUGAAAGUCGGGGGUUCGAUUCCUUCCACCGCAA